rnacentral:ncRNA from 1 species
GUAGAUAGAGGUCGCAUUUUUCAUGAGUAAGAUGUUGGAUGUUAUCAGGAACAGUUGAACACAUCAGAAAGGGGAAGGUGCCGAAAGGGUGAGAAACCUGAUAUCUUGUCCUUGGGCAUGACGUAAAUAGCGGCAUGACUGUCAUCGCAGGAUGGAGAGCU